UGCGGGCUCUUAAAGAGUGGAUUGAUCUGAAUGGAUUGAUCUGCUGGGUUGGGGCCCUAACUGUAGGCAGGUCGUGGGCUAGUGCUUGGGUCAUUUACCGGGUAAUCCGACCCUGCCGGCAAGAGCAGAGAUUAAAAUCAAUGUCAGAUUAUGUUGGAUUGGGAUAUGUUAUUAUGUAAAUUUGAUAAUGUCGUACCUGUCACUUUAGUUAUCCAUGUUUAACAAGAAUAGACUCUAAAACCUUUUUAUAUCUGUGUGGUAUUGCUAUGGAGUCUGCAUCUGAAUCCUUCCACACUGGAUUGCAAUUUAACAAAUAAUUCUGUGCCAUGGGAGGUACUGUUGCCAGUACUUGUUCAAUAAUACUUGAAGGGUAUCUGUGUGCAUUGAGACAAACAACUCUCUUACUUGGGUAAAUAGGCUGUAUGAAAUGUUAUCACAAUCCAGAAAUGUAAUAUAAAAGGCUGGAUGUCAAAUGUAAUUGCCCUCAGACUUCAUCUACUGCUACUUUGUGCUUUGUACAUGGGGAAUAUCAGGGCCACAAGGAUCUCUGAAGCAGAAAGUGAGGACUGAGGCGGAAGCAGACCCUCAUUAUUUUCUACCAUGGCAUCAGAGGGCACACAACAAAAUCCCAGCUGUAAGAUCAUGACUUUUAGACCUACCUUAGAGGAGUUCCAAGACUUUGGAAAGUAUAUGGCCUACAUUGAAUCUCAGGGUGCACACCGAGCUGGUUUAGCUAAGGUGAUACCACCAAAAGAGUGGCGUCCUCGACGUACAUACGAUGAUUUGGAUGAGAUGGUAAUACCAGCCCCCAUUCAGCAAGUAGUAACUGGCCAGUCUGGCCUUUUCACUCAGUACAACAUCCAGAAGAAACCUAUGACGGUGGGAGAGUACCGGAGACUAGCUAACAGCAACAAGUACUGCACACCACGGCAUCAAGAUUUUGAUGAUUUGGAGCGCAAAUAUUGGAAGAAUUUGACUUUUGUUUCCCCCAUAUAUGGAGCAGAUAUAAGUGGCUCUCUCUAUGACAGUGACAUCAACCUUUGGAACAUAGCAGGAUUAAAUACUUUACUGGAUAUGGUGGAGCAUGAGUGUGGAAUAAUAAUUGAAGGAGUCAACACUCCAUACCUGUAUUUUGGCAUGUGGAAAACUACGUUUGCCUGGCAUACUGAGGACAUGGAUCUGUACAGUAUUAACUACCUGCACUUUGGAGAGCCCAAAUCCUGGUAUGCUGUCCCUCCUGAACAUGGCAAGAGACUUGAACGUCUGGCAAAAGGCUUCUUUCCUGGCAGUUCUCAAGGAUGUGAUGCAUUUCUUAGGCAUAAAAUGACUUUGAUUUCUCCAUCUAUCUUGAAGAAAUAUGGUAUUCCAUUUGACCGGAUUACGCAGGAGGCUGGUGAGUUCAUGAUCACAUUUCCUUAUGGAUACCAUGCAGGAUUCAACCAUGGAUUCAAUUGUGCUGAGUCCACAAAUUUUGCCACUUUGCGCUGGAUUAAUUAUGGGAAAAUGGCUACCCAGUGCACAUGCCGAAAGGACAUGGUGAAGAUUUCUAUGGAUGUAUUUGUAAAGUUUCUACAGCCAGAUCGCUAUGAAGUGUGGAAGCAGGGAAAAGAUAUUACCAUUCUGGACCACUUAAAACCUACUGAGCUCAGUAGUCCAGAACUAGAAGCAUGGAGGGAAAGAAGGAACCAGUUAAAGGGCAAAACAGACCACAGACCUUAUAGGAAACGCACCCAGCCACGCAGACACAAAACCCAAGACCAAAAAUUUCUUCAGGAAGUACUAGAUUCUAACUUGAUGCUAGGCAGUCAAGAUGUCGAUGUCAAGAAAUGUGAGGAAGAUGAAGACAUCAGCAAAAAAUAUGAAGGUCACUUAAUUGAUAUGAAGCAUAAUCCUUGUGGUGCAAAACUAAAGAACGUGAGGCGAAGAAAAGCUGGAAAGAACUCUGGAAUCCUGCCGUUAACAGCGGGUCUUCUUCUAAAUCCCCCAGAACUUGACAGUAUUGUUUCGUUUAUCAGAGGGCCACAGGACCUUUCUGAUGAGAGUGAUUUUAAACCUCGUCCCAUCAUUCCAACCCUUUAUGUUGUGCCUCAAGACAAUAAGGUUGUGUUUGACAAGGCACAAAUGUCAUGCCAGGAAGCUUUUGAGCAGUUUGCCAGACAGGGCACCCAUUCAGGGAAAGCAGAAGAAUCCAUUGACAGACCAAAGGAGGCUCAAGCUCCUGUCCUUUUUCCGAAGAUGGAGAUUAAGAAGAGCCGACGUCAUCCCCUGGGCAUACCGCCUGCUCGGUUACCCAUGUCUGUAGUAAAGCAGGAUAUGUCAAGUGAUGAUGAUUCAACUCCAUUUUCUGGUGAGGAAGAUGUUAGUGAUCCAGAAGCUCUUCGUACUUUGCUUUCACACUUGUGGAAAAACAAGCCUCACAAUUUUUUGGCAGAAAGAAAAUUCAAUGCUGCAGCUGCUCUGAUUGAGCCAUAUUGUGCUGUGUGCUCCAUUUUCUUCCCAUAUCAAAAGGAGUCUGCAUGUUUGUCUGAAUAUAUGAUCCCAUCCUCAAAAAAAGGACAGAAAACAAAGGCACUUAUUCCUGAAAUGUGCUUUGCUGCCAGUGGUGGCAACACCGACCCUUUGCCAGUUAGCACAUACACUUUAGAAGAUGGAACAAGCAUUCUGCUCUCCUGUGCAAAGUGCUGCCUGCAAGUUCAUGCCAGUUGUUAUGGAGUCAACCCAGAUCUAGUUGAAGACAACUGGACUUGUUCACGAUGUACAGCCUGUGCCUGGAAUGCAGAUUGCUGUCUGUGUAACUUACGGGGAGGAGCUCUUCAUAUCACUACUGAUAAAAGAUGGGUUCACAUUGUAUGUGCUGUUGUGGUCCCUGAGGCUCGCUUCAUAAAUCCAGUUGAACGCCACCCUGUUGAUGUCCGUACCAUUCCUGAACAAAGGUGCAAACUGAAGUGUGUAUACUGUCGGCGGAAAAUCCGGAAGGAGGUAGGAGCCUGUGUUCAGUGCUCGGUUGAUCGAUGUUCCACUUCCUUCCACGUCACCUGUGCAUACACAGCUGGUAUCACCAUGGAACCUGAUGACUGGCCAUACGUUGUGUCAAUCACUUGCUUCAAGCACGGGGCAAGCAAUCAGAGUAGUUCUUUCUCUCGGGAAGUGAGUAUUGGCCAGACUGUUAUUAGUCGAAAUCGAAAUGGCUUGUACUACCGAUGUCAAGUGAUUGGAUCAGCCACUCAAGUAUUCUAUGAGAUCAACUUUGAUGAUGGCUCAUACAGUGAUAACGUGUAUCCUGAAAGCAUUACAAGCAUGGAUUGCCUUCAGGAUGGCCCUCCAGCAGAGGGACAGAUGGUGGAGCUGAGAUGGACGGAUGGAAAUACAUACAAAGCAAGGUUCAUUUCUGCUAAUGUCAACCAUGUUUAUCAGGUAGAAUUUGAAGAUAAUUCUCAGUUAAUGGUGAAACGCAGUGAGAUCUUCACUUUGAAUGAGACUCUUCCUAAACGGGUCCGAUGCCGUUUGGUUUGCUAAAAGAAUGGUUCAUCAUCUUAGUGGGAUUGAUUAUCAUCCAUAAAGUUCAUCCAGUCUCUCAGCACUGGUGCUUCCUUGGAAGAUAUAUCAGAGGACCAAAAGUCAUUUAAACGUCCACGCGUCACAAGUCCCAGCAACACAGAGCAAGAGUCAAGGAGCCAUGAGACUGUUGGUCCAAAUGAUCCACUCACUCAAUGCCAGCACCCCAGUGAUGGUUUAUACUGACUUUUCAAGCUAACUGCUCUACACUAGCAUACAUACAGCAUACCACUGCAACAAGAUUUUGGAAACACUGCAUAAUCUACAGAUAUCCGACUUCUGCACAGCAGACAAGAGUAUCUAAGCAACAGGGAUGUGAAGGAAAUAAUGUUGAGUGCUACCCUGUCAAUGCGUAUACAAUCCUCCUUACUAUAAUAGCCUUUUAAUAAACAUUUAUAAAAAAAAAUAUCUUGAGAAAAAAAAGAAUCAGAUCAGGUUUUAUAAUUUUUUGGCUUUAAAUAAAACUCAAGCCAUUUUGUAAACUUCCACACCAGGAGGAGAUGGAGCAGCCAGCAUUUUAUUUAUUAUUUUUUUAUAAAAAAUAUAUUUUUAUUUGUAAAUGACAAAAAAAUGUUUCUUGUGCUGAUGGGAAAGAAAAACUUAUAUACCUGGAGAACAGUCUGUUUAUUUAACUUUAAUUUGUUUGUACACUCUAUUACACCACACCCCAACUUCUCCUUCAACAUUUUUCUUCUUUCGACACUUCUUGCUCUCCCCUUUCUUUCUCAGUAUGGUUUAUGAUUUUGUAUGUAACACACAAACACAUAUGGUAUAGACCAGUAUGCUGAAGCAGAAAAAAGUCUUUAUCAUCAACCCUCCUACAUUGUGAUUCACUGCAUUGUGUCUACACUGUGCGUAAAAAAAUCAAUUGACAAAGUCACCAAAUUUCAAUUACCCUAUGCUGCUCCUAUGUUUAUUUUUGUUAAUACUGGUGAUUGUUUGGAUGAAAUAUUUUGGAUUUUAAGAAUUGGGGCUUGGGGGUAAGAUAAGUUAUAGGUGCCGGUCUGUCUCUGCAUGUGUGCGGACUAUGGUUUACCUGUUGUGGAGUUGACAGACUUGUGUUUACUAGUAUUAUAUCGUGAAUUGUAAGGAAUUGCCUUCUGGAGCUUUAAAGGAUAUAGCAUGUUUUGUAUUUCCAUGCAGUAAAGAGGAAAAAAAUUAUGAAAAUGAUUUUUCCUUAAAUCUGUCGCUCUGUCUCAUUUCAUGCACUGUUAUGAUUUGUUUCUAAUAGUAAAAACUGGUGAUGUAUUUUUCUGCCCUUACAAAAUAAAGCUAAUAUUAGAGCCCCUUUGA